rnacentral:sRNA from 1 species
ACUCAACGUUAAUUCUUUAAAAAGGGUGAGUUUAAGCUGUAAAAGCAUGCUGCUAGUGCCGAAUUUAUUUCAGUAUCUUGAGCAGACCCUUGAUCAGCUUGUUAGCCCUAAACUUGUUUUUAAGGAGUUU